UACGUAGGGUGCAAGCGUUGUCCGGAAUUAUUGGGCGUAAAGAGCUCGUAGGCGGUUUGUCGCGUCUGCUGUGAAAUUUCGGGGCUCAACCCCGAACUCGCAGUGGGUACGGGCAGACUAGAGUGUGGUAGGGGAGACUGGAAUUCCUGGUGUAGCGGUGAAAUGCGCAGAUAUCAGGAGGAACACCGAUGGCGAAGGCAGGUCUCUGGGCCACUACUGACGCUGAGAAGCGAAAGCGUGGGGAGCAAACAGG
rnacentral:rRNA from 1 species